rnacentral:lncRNA from 1 species
UUACCAGCAAACGGGCAUUGCACAACCCCGGGAGUAAGGCUGCCCAGCAUGGUAACCACCCCAAGCAGGAGGGCAAUAAACACCCAAAGCAGUCCCUAUCACUAACAUUGGUAGGGCUGGUAGGCCUGAGGUAGAUCUUUAGCUCAAAAGGUGGCUCUCCAAAUUUUUGAUGGCAAGAGUGAAGAGUUACCAUCCCUGUGACUCAUCCAGGAGCUAUGACCAUCUACUGUGACUCAGCCAGUGGAAACAUUCUGUGAUGUCUGUUGCUAGGUGUUCACGUCCUAUGUCCUCACCCAGGAGGGACACUGGGCUGUCUCUAGGUCUUCUGCAGUCAGUUGCCUGCACUCUCUUUGCUCUGGCAAUGGGUGUAGCACAUGUGGUAGAGAGAAGCAUUUUGGCUGAAGAUUCCUCUUGGGUGGACAUGAUUUCAGGAUGA